AAAAGAAGAGUUAUGUAGGGUUGGGCGGUAUCCAAAUUUUGAUACCGUCAAACCUCCUCCCUAUUUUACCGCGGUAUACGGUAUUACCGUGACUAAUUAAAAACGAUGACGUAAGGCUCAGACGGCGUCACCAAACUGUUGGCUUGUGCACCGUUCAGAAACUGAAUACCAAACACUAAUACUGAAACAAUAAUAACAUAACUUACA